rnacentral:rRNA from 1 species
GAUGAACGCUGGCGGCGUGCCUAAUACAUGCAAGUCGAGCGAACGGACGAGAAGCUUGCUUCUCUGAUGUUAGCGGCGGACGGGUGAGUAACACGUGGAUAACCUACCUAUAAGACUGGGAUAACUUCGGGAAACCGGAGCUAAUACCGGAUAAUAUUUUGAACCGCAUGGUUCAAAAGUGAAAGACGGUCUUGCUGUCACUUAUAGAUGGAUCCGCGCUGCAUUAGCUAGUUGGUAAGGUAACGGCUUACCAAGGCAACGAUGCAUAGCCGACCUGAGAGGGUGAUCGGCCCCACUGGAACUGAGACACGGUCCAGACUCCUACGGGAGGCAGGAGUAGGGAAUCUUCCGCAAUGGGCGAAAGCCUGACGGAGCAACGCCGCGUGAGUGAUGAAGGUCUUCGGAUCGUAAAACUCUGUUAUUAGGGAAGAACAUAUGUGUAAGUAACUGUGCACAUCUUGACGGUACCUAAUCAGAAAGCCACGGCUAACUACGUG